GCGCCCAUACACACUGAACUCGCCAGGGAAAUCGUCAUGGACAGAUGAGGGCAGAGAUCCAAGCCGCUUUAGUGGCGUCAGGCUAGCUUCUACCGUGGCCCUGAGCAUGUCCCUAGCCAGGCCGAAGCCCAAGCUAAACAGCGCACACUUUGGGCACGCUUCUACCAUACCAUAGGUGUCUGAACAUGAGGGACCUCGACACUGUACUGUCUUCUGCCAACCAAAACUGUCGGUAUUCAACGACCUGAGUCUCACACUUUCCCUUCAGGCUCCUGUGGCGGCCCCUCUCCAUUGUUUGGCUCGUCUUGUUCGUCUCGGUGAUUCGUCCCGUCAACCAUCCAUCACCUGCAAGAUGAGAAAGAAGAGCAGUGGUAGUUUCAUGUCUCU